UCAUCUCUUCAGACUCCACACUCAUGAAUUAAUAUUACAGAUAAAUGCUCCUAUGUCCGUCUGGUAAGCAAGUGAUAGCUUUUGAGCCUCAGCUUCUACAUAAUACAUCUGGGUUAUUUAUAAAUUGAAUUUGUCACACACAAAUGAUGUUUCAUGAGAAAGAAGAUUCAAUGAUUUGUAAAUCUCUCCUUUCUAUCCCCACAGCCACUGCCCAGACACUUUACUUCAAAUUUGGCUUUAUUUUCAUCAUUGAUAUUGAUUAAAAUGACAUUCACUUGCCCGGAAAGUAAAAGAGGUCUUCAGCACAAAAUAUUGCUCCAACAAGCAAGCAUAAAUCACUGAGAUUGAAAUGUCAUCUAUCUUUAUUGGCCAACCACAUAAUCUCCAUGAAAAUUCUCAACAGAGAGCAAGGAACUCACUUUCUUCUAAGCAAAGACAAUUUGGAUUUGCCUCGUGGCACUGGCAUCUCUUCAUGUCUGGACGUCAGAUGUUAGCUUGGUGCCUUUCUCCCUUAUCAGGGGGACAUUUUGAACCCAGCCGCACCAAUGUUCUCAUGGAUGGUGGCCUUCGAUUCUUCUAGAUUCAAGAUUUGGCUCUUGUACUUUUCCUGCCAGUCCUCUACAAUGUACUGGUGGUAGGGGUCAUUGGAGUGUUCCCGUCUCUUGGAUUUCACAGUGCUCACCAGGAUGGCCACGAUGAUGAAAGAGAACAUUCCAAUCAUCACCAUGAGGUACAGGAUGACAUAGUAGAAGUUCUCAGCAUCAACUUUGGCUUGGAGGGCCUCUUGCUCAGCUGUUGUGUUCUGGCGCCAAUUGUCCAUAUAAGUAAUAAAAAUCCUUCGGAAGACGUCUUCCAGCGUCUGUGUGAAAUUGGAUAAAGUAGACAUGCUUCCCUCCUGCUGCAAUUUAAAUAAUAAAAUAGGCGAACAAGGUUAGGAAAACGGAUCUUUUCUGGAUUUGGCUAUGUAAAGGUGGGAGGGAGAUGCCAGGGUAUAAGUAAUAGUAUUUCUUCUUAACCUGGCUGGUGAUUUAAUGCAUAUUUUGUUAGUCUUUAAACUGACUGCGUACAUUUUAUUCACUUUUUUUACAAUCCAUGAUUGUUACACAGUAAAAAUUUAAAUGGCAGAGAAAAUUAUAUAUAUACACUUUGAUAUUUAUAUAUGCAUGUAAAUAAAUGUAUGUGUACAUAUGAAAAUGGAGAAAAUAUUAGAAGUACAUAGAUCAGAAUGUUAACAGUGGGUGGUGUGCUUAAAGAUAUGUAUUUUCUUCUUUAUGCUUUUCUCAUAUUCCAAAUUUUCAUCAGCAGUCUUGCAUUACUUUUGUUUUUUAAAAAAUUGGUAACCUUACAAGAGCUAGAAUAAUGCCACAUUCAUAACAAGCACUCAACAAACGUCAGUGGAAUGGACCAAUGACUCAUUUAUGUUCUCUGUUUUUAGAGAAUUGUGGGGCAUUAUGAGAUAACAUCAAGAGAAAAGAUUGCAGGGGGCAUUGACAGACUCUCCAAUUUGUUCCAUCCCCUAUGUCUAAGUGGCACAUUGUCCCAAGUAUCCUAAAGGGAGGGGUGUGUACAUCUAUAUUUGAAAGAAGCAUUUUAGGUAAGUGAUGCCAAGAAACAAUCUGAGAGAUUAUUCCUAUGUUUCAAAUCCAUCUCUCCUUUUCAUCACCACUGGCACCGCCCAGCCUCCAGCAUCUCUCACCUGGAUAAUACAAUGCCAACAAUGUAAUACAACACAACCCUCCCCAGAGCCAUCUCUUUGGGGUUAUAUGUGCCCCUCUCUGCCUUGAAUAGCCAUCAAUGUGCCCUUUUUUUUUUCUUAAGACGGAAUCUUGCUCUGUCGUCCAGGCUGGAGUGGGGUGGCACGAUCUCUGCUCACUGAAACCUCCGCCUCCCCAGUUCAAGCAAUUCUCAUGCCUCAGCCUCCCAAGUAGCUGGGAUUACAGGCACAUGUCACCACGCCUGGCUAACUUUUGUAUUUUUGGUAGAGACGGGGUUUCAACACAUUGGCCAGGCUGGUCUCGAACUCCUGACUUCAGGUGAUCCACCCGCCUCAGCCUCCCAAAGUGCUGGGAUUACAUGUGUCAGCCACCGUGCACAGCCAAUGUGCCUUUUUGAAGAGGGAAAUUAUAGUGCAAUUUGUUUGCUUUUAAAAUGAUGCGAUGGUUGUUCUUAAAAUCAAGUCCUAAUUCCUUAACAGUAUUUACCCCAUUGGCUGAGCAGGCUCCUGACCACCUCCUCAGUUACCCUUUGCUCACUACAGUUCGGUCACACCUGACAUCUUCCCUCCCUGUCAGUAAGCUCUCUUUCCUCGGGACAUUAUCACAUCCUAUUCUCUCAACCUAGAAUGCCUUUGCCUUUCUCUUCCACCUGCUACCUCCUCGUUCUUUAGGUUCCAGCUAGUUGUCACUUCUGAGACUUCCCUGGUUCUACUCUAAAUCACUUCCCACCACCACCACCAUUUUCCUCCAACAGCAUCUCCUUUUUCUUCAAAAGCACACAUCACAUAUGCAGUCACUAAAUGUGUGUGUAUAUAUUCAUAUUACUUUUGUUUAAAAAAAAUUGGUAACCUCACACCAGCUAGAAUAAUGCCAUAUUUAUAACAAGCACUCAACAAAUGUCAGUUAAAUGGAGCAAUGACUCAUUUAUAUUCUGUUUUCAGAGAAUUAUAUACGUGUGCUUUUUUAUACAUCUCUGUUUUUAGAGAAUUGUGGGGCUUUAGACAUAACAUCAAGGCAAACGAUUGCAAGGCAAAAAUUUUUUGUUUUUUUGAGACGGAGUCUCGCUCUGUCACCCAGGCUGGAGUGCAGUGGCGCGAUCUUGGCUCACUGCAACCUCUGCCUCCCAGGUUCAAGUGAUUCUCCUGUCUCAGCCUCCCAAGUAGCUGGGACUACAGGCAACCGCCACUACGCCUGGCUAAUGUUUUGUAUUUUUAGUAGAGACGGGGUUUCGCCAUGUUAGCCAGGAUGGUCUCGAUCUCGUGACCUCGUGAUCCACCUGCCUCGGCCUCCCAAAGUGCUGAGAUUACAGGUGUGAGCCACCGCUCCCGGCCAAGAUUUUUUAAUACAUACAUACAUACAUAUAUAUAACAUACAUAUAUAUAACAUACAUAUAUAUAUAUAUAUAUAUAUAUAUAUAUAUUGUGUGUGUGUGUGUGUGUGUGUGUGUGUGUGAUUAUUGGUUUAGGGGCUCAUCUUUUCCACUCGGCUGUCAUGUCUGCCAACUUUGUCUAGCUCGGUAUAGCAGAUGUCUAACACAUAGAAGGCACUCAAUGGACAUUUGAUGCAUGAAUUAAAGUGCCAGGUACUAUGCUAGGCGAUGAAACUGCAGAGGUGACAGGAACUCUGUGAGAGGCUCAGUUGAAUGGGAGAGACCAAAUCAAUGACAAUGCAACGUGCAAAGAGUUGCAACAGGUAUGGACAAAAAGAUAAGGGGGCUCAGAAAAUGGAGCUGAACACGGUUCAUAGAUGGGGCAAGUGGGUUUCAACACAGCUAGAAGGAGCACAGGCAGGAGGUAAACCUGUGACUAGCCACUAGUAAAAGCCCCAGGAUCCCAGCAGUGGGUUUGCCUGCUGCCGUUCUAAAGACAUGCCCGUCUCUUUAGCAUGUGACUUUUCUUUCCUUCAUGAAAAGAGAAUCAGAUCUCCCCAUCUGGGAAAGGAAUUUCAAUCAGCUGAAUAAUCAAACCUACUAAACAAAUAAACUUGCAGGCAUUCUCCCACAGAACAUCCCUCCCCAGGAUUUUCCUCAUUGAGAAUUACCAUCACCAAGAUAAUAUACUCUUCUCUGUCUGAUGUUUUAAGUUCUAUUAUUUAGAGAGCUCUAAGAUCUUUGUCUCCCUCUCCUGGCCACACAGGCUAGUGGGUUGGAAGGAAACUUAACAAAUAGAUAAGAUUGCCCCAGGGUAUAUACCAAGCAUAUUUCCUAAGCAAUGUAACAGAGAUGUGCUUUUUCCCCUUUAAAAUGAUAUAGUCUGCUGUGAAAGUUAGCUGAGCUGGCUUUAAUCCACUCAAGACUUUGCCACUGGCUCUUUUACCCUUUUAUUUUCAUUUUAUUUUUUAUUAACUCUUUUUUAAAAUAAAAAAGUAGUGAUGAGGUCUCACUAUGUUGUUAAACUCCUAGGCUCAAGUGAUCCCCCUGCUUCAGCCUCCCAAGGUGCUGGGAUUACAGGUUUGAGCCACCAUGCCAGACUUUUUUUUUUUUUUUUUUUUGAGAUGGGGUCUGGCUCUGUGAGUAUAGUCUUUUUCUCUUGUAGGAAGCCCAGCCGGUUGUUACCAAUCCAUAGUACUUUCCCUGACCUCCCCAGGUCUAGGCAGAGACCCUUUUUCUGCCCCUUCUGCAAAUGACCAUGUUAGUUUUGUUUUUUUCCUUUUUUUUUUUUUUUUUUUUUUUUUUUGAGAUGGAGUCUCUUUUGCCCAGGCUGGAGUGCAGUGGCGCGAUCUCGGCUUACUGCAAGCUCUGCCUCCCGGGUUUACGCCAUUCUCCUGCCUCAGCCUCCUGAGUAGCUGGGUCUACAGGCACCCGCCACGAAGCCCGGCUAAUUUUUUGUAUUUUUAGUACAGACGGGGUUUCACCAUGUUAGCCAGGAUGGUCUCGAUCUCCUGACCUCGUGAUCCGCCCACCUUGGCCUCCCAAAGUGCUGGGAUUACAGGCGUGAGCCACCGUGCCCGGCCUUGUUUUCGUUUUUGAAUUACCCAUGUAUUGUGUGCUUAUUCAUGUGAUCCUCAAAACCACUCUAUAAACUCCUACCUUCAGGAUGUUUAGUGAGAUUCAGUAACUGAGUCCCGAUGACAGGAGAGCUUGAGCCCCCGGAAGGCAGGGAUUGCUUUACUCAUCUCUGAAUCCCGGGACCCUACACAGCGAUGGAACUUGAGCUCCAUGACAACAGGGACCUUACCUGUAUUGCCCAUUCUGUGUCUGGCUGGAAAAAAGCUCUCACUGUAUCCCAAAAGAAUGGUGAUAAUUCUAGAUUCUGGCUGUGAUGAAAUCAACCACCUCAUCUAUUUACAAGGUACUAAGAUUAUCAUUCCGAUGAAAAAGACUCUGGAAAAGAAAGUUUUCACCUUUUCAAAACCAUUAACAAUACAUGACGUUUCUAAUUGAGCUCACAGAGUAGGAAGCUUUCCUUGAUGCUAUUAAUGUGAGCACAAUGGUUUUGUGAAAAGCUGGAAAUGGGGGCAUUGAGAAUCUCUGGUAAUUUCAUUUAGCUAUGCACUGAGCUUCUACUUUCUCUGUGCCUGGUUCAGAAUAUUAGAAGAGAUGGCAAUGAUUCUGGAGUGGAUUACACCAUUUGACUGAGGAACUACUGGAAUUUUCUUCUUCUCUAAGAUACACACAAGCAUGACGACUUCCAAUGAACAGGCCUCACCAAGAACUCUCCAAACAUGUAGGGUUUCUUUAGUUUAUCAAUGAAACAAGCAACUUGGUAGGAUGCUUCUGAAAUGCCGCUGCUGUGAUAGAGCAAACCAAGUUUUGAUAAAGUUGAUUCUCUUCUGAUGGAGCCUUCCCCCAAGGUGCUUUCCCAGCCUUGCUGGCUUCAUGCUUCUGGGAUUGAGAAGCUUGUCACCAUCAUCAACAGGCCUAGUUUGCAACGGAAAGCCAGAGAACGUCUCAGCUUCCUUGUGUUCUGUUUGCCCUGACAUUACUGAACUUUAGCAAGACCCAAAGUUAACAAAGACCCCUGUCACAGGCCGAAUGGCAGGGUAUGUUCUUUGAUUUCUGUUAGUGGAAAAUGAAUGUAACACAGAGAUCACAUGGGCUGUGAGGCCCCCCUGUAGCCUCCAGCACCCUUUCUUCCUGGAGCAUGAAUCUGGACGGAAAUGGUGCCGUAUUAGGUUUGUUUUACAAAGAUGAUUUUCAAAGAGGAAGAGGAUCAAAAGAAACAGAAAAGAACCCCCAGCGUGCAGGCCACAGGUGUGUGGGGGUUAAAACUGGAUGGGAAGGAGAGGGGGAAGUCCUGGAACUCAAGGAGGCACAACCGUGGGGGCUUCAUUUUCCCCAGGAACUAUAAAAGGCCAAUGGGCUCUUGUAGGAAAAAAGCAGAUCAGCACAGAUGGGAGCAGAGAAAGGGCUCUCACAGCAAAUUUUGCCGGCUUUCCAGUUUUUCCAUAGAUCAGACCACUUUUUGGCCUUUGCUUAGAACCAUCAAGCUUCCUCCUUAGGCAUCCAGCACAGCUCUUUCCAUAUAUGUGGCGGUUUUUUGUUUUGUUUUAAUAAAGAAAAAUGUUUAUAAGCAUUGUACACAUUGCAUACUGGAAAUCUGCCAAGAGAGUAGGUUUUAGGUGCUCUUACCACACAUACCCCCCCCCAAAACACACACGAACAUGGACAUGUUAAUGGUUGGUGUAAUAUGUUAACGGUAUGUUAAUUUGCUUGUCUGUGGUAAUCACUCCACAUAUGUACGUCAGAACAUCUUGUUGCAUAUCUUAAAUACAGACAAUAAAAAAAGAAAAUCUUGGCUGGGCGUGGUGGCUUUUGCCUGUAAUCCCAGCAUUUUGGGAGGCCAAGGAGGGAGGAUCACAUGCCAGGAGUUCGAGACCAGACUGGGUUAACAUAGUGAGAUCCCAUCUCUACAAAAAAAAAUUUUAAAAAGAAAAUCUUUGAAAAGUUAAAAGAGAAAUAUUGAAGAACAGUG
rnacentral:lncRNA from 1 species